rnacentral:sRNA from 1 species
UUGGAAUAAAAGGCGGCUAAUGACUCAGGCGUCCUGCCUGAACGCCGUCUUCAUCACAUCCCUGUGAA